AUUGAACGCUGGCGGCAGGCUUAACACAUGCAAGUCGAGCGGAGAGAGGUAGCUUGCUACUGAUCUUAGCGGCGGACGGGUGAGUAAUGCUUAGGAAUCUGCCUAUUAGUGGGGGACAACAUUUCGAAAGGAAUGCUAAUACCGCCUACGUCCUACGGGAGAAAGCAGGGGAUCUUCGGACCUUGCGCUAAUAGAUGAGCCUAAGUCGGAUUAGCUAGUUGGUGGGGUAAAUGCCUACCAAGGCGACGAUCUGUAGCGGGUCUGAGAGGAUGAUCCGCCACACUGGGACUGAGACACGGCCCAGACUCCUACGGGAGGCAGCAGUGGGGAAUAUUGGACAAUGGGCGGAAGCCUGAUCCAGCCAUGCCGCGUGUGUGAAGAAGGCCUUAUGGUUGUAAAGCACUUUAAGCGAGGAGGAGGCUACUUUAGUUAAUACCUAGAGAUAGUGGACGUUACUCGCAGAAUAAGCACCGGCUAACUCUGUGCCAGCAGCCGCAGUAACAC
rnacentral:rRNA from 1 species